GAUGAACGCUGGCGGCGUGCCUAAUACAUGCAAGUCGAGCGAACAGAUGAGGAGCUUGCUCCUCUAACGUUAGCGGCGGACGGGUGAGUAACACGUGGAUAACCUACCUAUAAGACUGGGAUAACUUCGGGAAACCGGAGCUAAUACCGGAUAAUAUAUUGAACCGCAUGGUUCAAUAGUGAAAGACGGUUUUGCUGUCACUUAUAGAUGGAUCCGCGCCGCAUUAGCUAGUUGGUAAGGUAACGGCUUACCAAGGCAACGAUGCGUAGCCGACCUGAGAGGGUGAUCGGCCACACUGGAACUGAGACACGGUCCAGACUCCUACGGGAGGCAGCAGUAGGGAAUCUUCCGCAAUGGGCGAAAGCUUGACGGAGCAACGCCGCGUGAGUGAUGAAGGUCUUCGGAUCGUAAAACUCUGUUAUUAGGGAAGAACAAAUGUGUAAGUAACUAUGCACGUCUUGACGGUACCUAAUCAGAAAGCCACGGCUAACUACGUG
rnacentral:rRNA from 1 species